AUUCAUUUCUAGUUCUUCAGUGUAAUGCUCAAAUCACAGAGCAAUCUCCGUGUUUCGUCUUGAUAGAGCAGCUUCAUUUAACAGAAAUACUCUGGCAGUCAAAUCGGAGAAACAGAAAUGAAGGAUAGAAAUAUUUUCCAGUGCUGACUAAAGGCAAGCAGUAAGCUUCAAGCAUUAAUUAACAGUAUAAUGAGAAACUUCAGUCCAAGCAAAUACUUCUUUUUAACAGAAUUUUUCUUUUCUCUGUUGUGUUGCAGAAGAAGAGAUGGUGACUGAGCUGUACAAGCAAACCGGGACAAUCCAAAAAGUGACUCAAAGCAGGAGCCAGCAGAUGGUCGCGUCGUUAGCCGGUGGCCACAGCCUCGCCAGAGGAGUUUUGGAAUUCCCAUCAAAGUCGGGAUUAAGCUCAGGAUAUGCCAGUGGCACAGAGGGGAGCGUGGAAGAAGAGGAAAUCAUUCCCUGCGACUCAUCUUGCGGUUGGGGGCUGAUCUCCUGAGAGUGCCGCGCGGGUGCCGAAGGAAGAACACGUUGUUUGAGGGAAAACCUAUUUAUAAACACGUGGAAACUGAAAGGUAAAUCAUUUCUGUAAACUGAUUGAUGAAAUAUGCUCUCUGCAUUGGUUAUGUGUCCCGAUGUGAAGUACGUAGUGUAAAUACACCUGGCAUCUAUUACGUUUGUCGCUGUGCAGUGCCACUAGGGUAGGCAGGGGGUAUCUUUUAAAAAUUCCAUUUCUAAUUCUCUGCUUCUUCACCAUAACAAAGAAAGGUUCAAAGGUGGCGUGUUUUUCUCUGCAAAUGUUUUUGGCUUGGGUUUGGAGGUUUUUUUGCAGCGUUAUACGUGAUGGGGAGGAGUAAAGAAUAUUUGCCUUCAGCUAAAAGAGCCUCUGCAGCCUGUUUGUCAGGCGUGGGAAUUCAGUGGGGAUUAAAAACAAUCACACGUGGAGCUGAUUGAAUUUCCUAUCCCUCUUAAUUGCUACCUUUUUUUUUUUUUUUUCCUAUGUGAUGAUUUUAAUUUCACUUCCUCCGCAGUAAUCGCGGAGUCUUUCAAAGUAGUCAGAAUUUGAAUUUGUGUUAUACCAGAAAGAAAAAAAAAAAAAGAAAAAUAAACAUUUUCAUGCGCGAUUCUUGUUAUUUUUA
rnacentral:lncRNA from 1 species